rnacentral:tRNA from 1 species
GCCGUCCAGCCAGUAUGGUGGCUAGGACCCUCGGCUUGGGACAGAGUGGGCUCGGGUUCAAAUCCCGAAUAAGGCA